GAUAAACGCUGGCGGCGCACAUAAGACAUGCAAGUCGAACGGACUUAACCAUUAGUUUACUAUUGGAGCGGUUAGUGGCGGACUGGUGAGUAACACGUAAGCAACCUGCCUAUCAGAGGGGAACAACAGUUAGAAAUGACUGCUAAUACCGCAUAUACCUAAGUAUCGCAUGGUACAAUAGGGAAAGGAGCAAUCCGCUGAUAGAUGGGCUUGCGUCUGAUUAGAUAGUUGGUGGGGUAACGGCCUACCAAGUCGACGAUCAGUAGCCGGACUGAGAGGUUGAACGGCCACAUUGGGACUGAGAUACGGCCCAG
rnacentral:rRNA from 1 species